GUGAUAUCUGACUAGCUCCAAAAGAACCAAAUCAAAGUCCCACACCAGUGAUACUUUGACGCAUGGUUCUGGACGGUUUGAUACCCCACAGAAAAUGGCAUAUCAAAGGCUCUUGAUUGACUGGAGUGUCGUGAAUCGUGCUAUGCGUCGUCGAAAUCGCGGAACGUAGCCCGUUAAUGGAACGUUCCGAUCGGCCUGUAGUGAAAAGGUAUGAUAAAGAUCCAGCAUCGUGGAGAUAGGGGUAAUAAAGGGAUCGCAGUCCCUUCCCAUACACCAGCGAACUCAAGGUGUUCCAUGCGGAUAAGUUAUUUCGGGGGAAUACCUGGCAUCCAUGAGUCCUAUAGUAGGUCUCUAGUUGGUUGCGAUAGUCCCUUGACAUACCAGUCUCCCCUGAAAGACACCAAUCUACCAACUCCAGAUGCUCCUGCAUUCUCAAUGGAUGAUGUUCUCCUUUUGGAUCCGCCCGAAGGCAAGUUAAAACGGAAGGAGCAGAGGAUGAUCCUGAUUAAGGACAACCCUUCUGGGUGUCACGCUUGCCUCCUUUACCACAGUAAUGAGUACUAUCGAAGUAUUCUGAUCCCAAUUUCAUAGGUGUGUCCGUAUCUCAGGCAGUGAGCUUUCAGCCACUGUCUGGCCUGGUAGUGAAGCAGUCCUGGGAAAUAGUCAAAGGGUUAUGGUGCCUUUCCGCCGUACCCGUCGAAUUUCCUUACGAAUUGUCGCUAUCAAUGAUGUGGGAAGGUGUAAUCCGCCCAAGGUGGAAUCUAUUCUGAAAUAGAGGAACUGAAUCACUCGGAACUGGGAUCGAACCGACUCCUCUCUGUUCACUAUGAAUCCCAACAAUUCCCGAAACUGUAAACAUAAAUCUCGUUUGUAAACGUAGUCAUGAAUUGGAUUCGCAAAAGGUAAGUCGUCUAGGUAUG